rnacentral:rRNA from 1 species
GAGUAAUUCUAUAUUGUUAUAGAAUUUAUAAUGUUAAAACUAGUAACAAGAAGAAGACCUUCUCUUAAAUGCAAGUAUAAAUCAGCAAGGACCCUCCACUGAUAAUUAACACACAUGAAACUAUAUUAACAACCCUUCAAGAAAACCCUAAUAAAUUUUAUGUUAACCUAACACAAGAGCAUUAAAAGAAAGAUUAAAAAAAAAAGAAGGAACUCGGCAAACAAUGACCCCGCCUGUUUACCAAAAACAUCGCCUCUUGAAUAAUUAUAAGAGGUCCAGCCUGCCCAGUGAUUUAUUUAACGGCCGCGGUAUCUUAACCGCGCGAAGGUAGCAUAAUCAAUUGUUCUUUAAAUGGGGACUUGUAUGAAUGGCACCACGAAGGUUGUACUGUCUCCUUUUUUUAAUCAGUGAAACUAAUCUCCCCGUGAAGAAGCGGGGAUAAAAAUAUAAGACGAGAAGACCCUAUGGAGCUUCAAACUAAGUAACAAAUAUUAUACCCUUUUAAUUCUUCAGAAUAAAAAUUUUUAUUUUUAUAUUAUGAUUAAUAGUUUUAGGUUGGGGUGACCGCGGAGUAUAAUCCAACCUCCGCACUGAAAGAAUCCACUUCUGAACUAAGAGCUACGACUCUAAGUACCAAUAAAUUGACACUAUUUGACCCAAUAUUUUGACCAACGAACCAAGUUACCCUAGGGAUAACAGCGCAAUCCACUUCAAGAGACCCUAUCAAAAA